CACCAGCCGUUUUACAUCAACACCAUCAUAUUUCAGCACAACAGAACCAUAUCCAGAAUCCAGCAGCAUCACAAUCACAGAAAGAACAGAAACAAUCCCAGAUCAGCACAAAUCAACAGAAGUGAAGCACAGCUCUGUGAUCAGUAGUAAAUCUCCAUCCAGAGGCCAGAGGGAGCUCUCAUGCUGAAAAUC